UAGCGGAGCGUGUGGUUUAAUUCGAUGCAACACGAAGAACCUUACCAGGGCUUGACAUGUUGGAAGUAGUGGAACGAAAGUGGAACGAACUGUUAAAUCAGUAACCUUCACAGGUGCUGCAUGGCUGUCGUCAGCUCGUGCCGUGAGGUGUCGGGUUAAGUCCCAUAACGAGCGCAACCCCUGUUGCCAGUUAAUUUCUCUGGCGAGACUGCCCCGCAAAACGGGGAGGAAGGCGGGGAUGACGUCAAGUCAGUAUGGCCUUUAUGCCCUGGGCCACACCACACGCUACAAUGGGUGGUACAGCAGGUUGCAAUGGAGCGAUCCAGAGCUAAUCCUCAAAACCACUCUCAGUUCGGAUUGUAGGCUGAAAUUCGCCUGCAUGAAGUCGGAGUUGCUAGUAACCGCAUAA
rnacentral:rRNA from 1 species